UUAGAUGGAUCUGAGAUUCAAUCUGAACCAGGUACUAGUGCACCCUCUGUGGAUGCUAUACCAUAAUUGAAAGUAUGAAAGAAAAACAUUAUCUUAUAGAAUGUAUUCACAAGAAUUGAUGGUUUUGUUGUCCUCAAGCAAAUUUCAGCUAAAACUUGGGGUCCCAAUUUCACAACCUUUUUGGAUUGGCCGCGACUUGCCCUGUUAAGCCGGUUGAACCGGCCGAUUUACCAGUUAUUUGGACUUGGUUCUUGACUGGUUUUUGAGGCCAAUUAAAAUUUUUCGAGCACUGGGAUAAGUCAUACAUUUCUUAACCUCAAAUCUAUCUUAGACAUGCUCAUAUAGAGAGAGAGAACAAUGGCUGCCAUUAAUAUCUUCCCAAGCCUUACACCACAACCACUUAAGAAAGCUAGAGAACAAACCAAACAAAACCCCCAAGCCUUACACCACAAGCAUUUAAAAAAGCUAGAGAACAAACCAAACAAAACCAAGACAAAAUCUCUAGAUCACAGCCUACUGUAUCAAACAUUUGCAUAAAACACAGCAGAACAAAAAUACAUAUUUUGAUAGAAAUUUUUUUUAAAAAAACACCAACAUUGUUCAAAUUAAAGAAGAAAUAAGAGGGUGUAACCUUCAAAGUGUGAAGCCCAUUGUUGUAAACCUUUGUGGUGGACUGUGGACCCUAGAAAUUGUGCUUGGAGAGGCAUGAAGGGUGUUGUGAAAACAUAGAGAGAGCCUAUAGAGAAGAAAGGUCAGAUUUCUACAUGGUGGGAGGUAUAGAGUGAGAGGGAUGAGAGAGAAACCAAUUAUCAAUAUGGGCACCAUCUUCCCUGAUCCUAUGAACCGAGAAUAGCCAAAGGGAAGAGAAGGGAACUAUAAUAAACCUAUCUCAAGUAAUCUUCUCACUUUGUUUAUUCACUUUUAGAUAGAGGAUGGAGGUCAGUUGAGAGAGAGAAAGAGAGAGACAGUGUUAGUUGUGGGUUGACUUGUAGGUGCAAGCAACAAUCAUCAAACCUGAAAAAAUGAGAAAUGUGACAUCCAUUUCUUAUGCUAAAAUGAGAGUGAUUUAUGUAUGGACUUUAAAAUUUUAGAUAAAAUACACAGGUGGAAAUUAUAAAGAAGGUUGGUC
rnacentral:lncRNA from 1 species